rnacentral:rRNA from 1 species
GUACUACUCUCAGAGUUUGAUCCUGGCUCAGGACGAACGCUGGCGGCGUGCCUAACACAUGCAAGUCGAACGGGGUGUUCCUUCGGGGACACUUAGUGGCGAACGGGUGAGUAACGCGUGAGAAACCUGCCUUUCAGUGGGGGACAACAGUUGGAAACGACUGCUAAUACCGCAUAAUGUUAUUUGGGGGCAUCCUUGAAUAACCAAAGCUUUAUGUGCUGAAAGAUGGUCUCGCGUCUGAUUAGCUAGUUGGUGAGGUAACGGCUCACCAAGGCGACGAUCAGUAGCCGGUCUGAGAGGAUGAACGGCCACAUUGGGACUGAGAUACGGCCCAG